GAUGAACGCUGGCGGCGUGCCUAACACAUGCAAGUCGAACGGAGUUGUCACCAUGAAGUUUUCGGAUGGAUUGGUAACAACUUAGUGGCGGACGGGUGAGUAACGCGUGGGUAACCUGCCUCAUACUGGGGGAUAACAGCUGGAAACGGCUGCUAAAACCGCAUAAGAUCGCAUCACCGCAUGGUGAGGCGGUUAAAUAUCGAAAGAUAGGUAUGAGAUGGGCCCGCGUCUGAUUAGCUAGUUGGUGAGAUAAGAGCCCACCAAGGCGACGAUCAGUAGCCGGCUUGAGAGAGUGACCGGCCACAUUGGGACUGAGACACGGCCCAAACUCCUACGGGAGGCAGCAGUGGGGAAUAUUGCACAAUGGGGGAAACCCUGAUGCAGCGACGCCGCGUGAGUGAAGAAGUGCUUCGGCAUGUAAAGCUCUAUCAGCAGGGAAGAAGAUGACGGUACCUGACUAAGAAGCCCGGACGAACUACGUCG
rnacentral:rRNA from 1 species